GCUGCGAUGGCCGAGUGGUUAAGGCGUUGGACUCGAAAUCCAAUGGGAUAUUCCCGCGCAGGUUCGAAUCCUGUUCGCAGCG
rfam:Ciona savignyi cont_10661, whole genome shotgun sequence.